rnacentral:tRNA from 1 species
UCCCUGGUGGUCUAGUGGUAAAGACUCAGCACUUUCACUGCUGUGGCCCAGGUUGAAUCCCUAGUCUGAGAA